UAUUCCCAGAUGUGAAAUUCAACACCUCUUCCAUAAACAUCAGCACCUACACUGCACAGAAACACAUAGCAGGAUUUGAAGAAGAUCUCAUGUAGCAUAAGGAGAGAGCUGAUGUCACAGUAACCACGUAACCUGAAAACUAAGGUAACAUGGAUCUCUCCCAGGAGUGAUGGAAUACAAAUACUGGCUCACCUGUGGCAUCAGAAGAAAAAUAGCACCUCUCUGAAAGCAGGUAUCAGAAGACACAUGAACCAAUGAUCACUUCCAACUACAUUCCUGUCUUAAGAGCUUCAGGGUACAUAGACAGUGGCAAACCCUUGACAGGACUGGAUUACUGUAUUUUCAUACAGGUACUAUUUUACCUCCAUCCAAGGUAAGUGAGGGCAAGCACAAUUCCUCAGAGCCUUCCUUAGUGAAGGGAAUCCAUUUUUCUACUAAUUCACUCAUAGACAGCAUAUCCCCUUAAUGUUUCUUGCAGUAUGUAGACUGAAGUAUGGCUUGC
rnacentral:lncRNA from 1 species